rnacentral:rRNA from 1 species
UACGUAGGGUGCAAGCGUUAAUCGGAAUUACUGGGCGUAAAGCGUGCGCAGGCGGCUUUGCAAGUCAGAUGUGAAAUCCCCGGGCUUAACCUGGGAACUGCAUUUGAGACUGCAUGGCUAGAGUGCGGCAGAGGGGGAUGGAAUUCCGCGUGUAGCAGUGAAAUGCGUAGAUAUGCGGAGGAACACCGAUGGCGAAGGCAACCCCCUGGGCCGGCACUGACGCUCAGGCACGAAAGCGUGGGGAGCAAACAGG